CCUACGGGAGGCAGCAGUGGGGAAUAUUGCACAAUGGGGGAAACCCUGAUGCAGCGACGCCGCGUGAGUGAAGAAGUAUUUCGGUACGUAAAGCUCUAUCAGCAGGGAAGAAAAUGACGGUACCUGACUAAGAAGCCCCGGCUAACUACGUGCCAGCCGCCGCGGUAAUACGUAGGGGGCAAGCGUUAUCCGGAUUUACUGGGUGUAAAGGGAGCGUAGACGGCAGCGCAAGUCUGGAGUGAAAUCCCAUGGCUUAACCAUGGAACUGCUUUGGAAACUGUGCAGCUAGAGUGCAGGAGAGGUAAGCGGAAUUCCUAGUGUAGCGGUGAAAUGCGUAGAUAUUAGGAGGAACACCAGUGGCGAAAGCGGCUUACUGGACUGUAACUGACGUUGAGGCUCGAAAGCGUGGGGAGCAAACAGGAUUAGAUACCCCGGUAGUC
rnacentral:rRNA from 1 species